CUUAUCAACCCGAAAUUAUUAUUCAAUGUUUACAAGUUUAUAAGUAUUAUACUAUCAUAAAAUAAUAAUACAUUUAAUACCUUUAUAAAUAAUGAAGCUGUGAUAGUUUAUAGAAACCAAUUUGCGUUUGUGGAUUGAAAUAAGAAUAAGAUUAUAAGGAUCGAAACGCGUUGUUCAGAAUUUCGGAUAGUGGCCGAUGGAUAUAAUAUGCUGUGUUCGGUGUGUAAUUGCAGAAAAUUUUAAAAUCUGGCACCGGGCCCCUUAAUACCAUAAUUUCGAAUAUGAUUCAUCUGAUGAAGAAAUAUUGAACGGCGUUAAAAAAAUAUGAAUCAGCAUUAACGUAUUUUGUGGAGAACUGUGUUUGAAGAAAGAACUAUUGAAGGAAAAAUCUAAAAAUUAGAUAAUCUUAUUGAAAUCUACAAAUCUGCAUUUCCUA